AUAUCCUUAGAUGGAACAUAAGACAGAGUCUUCUUGGUAACUAUUCACAGAAUCUAAAAUGCUCUCACACAAGUGGCCAGGUUAGCCCUCCACCUUCUUCAAGAAAAUAAAUUCUUUUUUUAGAUAGGCAAGUUUUCUAAAUUGACUGGUAAUUGGGAUUUGAAAUUAGUUGAGGCAGCAACACUCUUUGGCAGAGAAAGCUAAAGGCCUUGUUCAACUAAAACUUCCAGGAUUCCAUAGUAUUGAGAUUCAGCAGUUAAAGUGGUGUCUAAUGGCAUUAAUUAUACCGGGAAAAUUCACCCUAGAAUUCUGAUAGAGUAGGGUUUGAAUCCCUGCUCAGCAACAGAAACCCACUAGGUGAACUUGGGCAACUUACUUUCUCAGAGCAAGGCAAAGCCAAACCCUCUGAAGCAAUAUGUCAGGAAUACUCUGUAAUGUUGCAGUAGGAGUUGCAACCUUGGAGUUGCAGUAGGUUGGAAAUGACUUGAAGGACUAGAAAGCACUAAAGCUCAUAAACUCUUAACAGCUUUUAACUACUAAAACACCAAUGAAUUGAGCACCUUGAAAUGUAUAUACUGUUUCUUCUAUGAAAAAUUACAGACAGAUGGUUAAAAGGGGCUGGUUAUAGGGCACAUACAACUCCCUUGCUACAACAGCCCCACUGGCUGCCAGUUCAUUUCCAGAUUUAAUUAAAUGUGCUGGUUAUAACCUACAAAGCUCUCUACAAUUGAGGUCCAGGCUAUCUGACAGACUACAUUAUCCCAUACAAACCUGUGAGGAGGAUCCUUAAGAGGCUUUUCUUUCAGGUUUACUCUCUUCACUGGCAUGGUUAGUGUAAAGCAUAAUAGGUGUCAUAACUCACCCUCUGGACUCAGAAGCUUUAGAGGAAGAGGAAGAAGCAAGUUGCCAAGAAUCUGCAGCUCCUAGUGACAGUGGUUUCUCGGGGAAGACUGAAUUGGAGGGAGCCAAGCUAGAAGUGGACCCUAAUCCUAGAUAGAAUGGUGAAGACAUUGAAGACCCAUCUUGAGACACCUGCCUAUCGAUCUCCCAGCCACUCCCUCACAACGUUGUUGCUCUAAACCCUCCUUUUUGUGAAGGAAAUGUGAAGAAAGAAGAUUGUUCUGGUCCAUUGUCAUUCACUGAUGCAGUACCAGAUCUUGGAAAGUUAAACUCCUGGAAUCCUCAGCUAGGUGGUGCUUCUGCUGUGAAACUGGUUGUACCUUGCAUGGACUGCUCACAGUGUAAGUAUGUUUUAUUUGGCCCAUGUGGACAUGGGAUUAGUGACCUAUGGGUCUUCUGUGCUAACUGCUGGUUAACAUCUUCAAUGCCACAACACUCCUGUCCCAAGAGUUCCUAUAGAUCAAGGGCAAGAAUGAUGUGGCCUUCUAAUUAUUGAAUUGCAUCAUCUAACACUUGCUGCCUUUAGAAAUGCUGGCUUAGUGCUGCUGGGCUGUGCAAUCCAAUAACAUAUGGAGGAGUGCAUUGAGAUUCCCAGUCAGACACAAAGGAUGACCAAGGACUGCCUUCUGAAAAAUAGGACACAAGGCCACUCUAAGCCUAAACUGAUUUAAAAAAUGAAGUUCCCCCUGAUAAGAGAUGCCUGUGUGUCAAAUCUGUGAUAAAAGCAUGGAAGUGAUAGGUAGUAAUCUUCUAGAUACAUCUUAAAACUCAUUGCUAUAUUAAGAGAAGUGUGCUCCAGCUAAACUUAGGCACAUUUGAUUCUGAUUCCUUUCAACAGAAGAGCUGUGCAUGCUUAAUUUUCUCCCACACAAACCAAUAAGGCUUUCGUGUUGAAUGUUGGCUGGACUGCGUCCUACGCAAGUAAAGAGAUUGGCUCUCAGUCAGAGCAGAAAGUGUUGCUUUUUGUGAGCAGUUGAAGGAGAAGAUCGCCUAUCGUUCAAGGGGUCAAAAGGCCUGUGUGUUUGGCAGCUAAGAGAACUGGAGUCACACAUUCUCUUCUCAUGUGUGCUUGAUUUAGAGGUUGAUAUUGGAGCUGAAAGGAGACUUUCCAUUGACUUCAAAGGCCCUUGGAUCAGGCUGCUGUGUAGUCAUUGUAUCAGUGGCCUGAAUUCAUUUCACAUUGGCAUCAACUCAGCACAGCUGACUGCUGAUCUGUUGCAGAUGCAGUGAAGUGGCCUGAUGCAAGCCACUCUUCUAUCCAACAUCCACAACAGAAUGAAAGAAGUUGCCAGGUCUAGAUGUUGGUCCUUGUGCACUUUUUUGAGAAGUUAACUGUUUGGAGAGCAUCUCCCAAGGAAAGAAAGCAUGGGAAUAGAACUGUUAUAUUUCCUAAAAAUCAGGUCAGUUUUGUGGUAAGAGAUGGAACUUGAAAGUGUUGCUUUUUAGAUGAAAACUUUCAAUGUCUUCCAGACUAUGCUGCAUGGGUGAUUUUGCUAAUUUUGGCCCAAAAUGUAAAGUUUUGGUAGGUGAUCAAGUACACAGUAUAUGUUUUCUCAACAUAGGAGAGCAACUGUUACGUUUCUCUUUUCUUUGAAGAUAUUAACUGGUUUCCUUGAAAUAUGACUUGGAUGAACAUUACACUCCUACACACGUUUUGGAAUAUCUCCCAUGGUUUCUGGGGAGAUUUUACCAUCUUGACUUCCUCUUUCAACAAGUCCCCUCAUUUUUAAAUACUUUCUCUUUUGAAGUCUCUUGUAAAUUCAUUGGUCUUCUUUACCACAUCAAAGCCUUGUCUACAUGAACAAAAUAAACCUGGACUCAGCAUGACUUCAGCACUGGCUGUCUACAUGAUGCACAGCUACUUCCAGCGAGUAUCCCUGCCCUUAACAGGACUUUGCUCCACUUCAAGCAAAGUCAAGGAGAUACUCUGGACCUUACAGGAAAUUCCAGAGUAUCUUGGGCUGGGAGGCAGUCUUGACAGCUCAAUUGGGUUCAUUUUGGCCCAGUCCAAUGUCCAGAUGGAUGCUGCUGCCAUCAGCAUGGUGAUUGGUGGCUUGUUCCUGAAUCACCACAACAGCUCCAUGCUAGCCAUGGAGACUUCUGUGAAUGCAGGUGCAUCUGCUGAGGUCAAAAUGGAUUAUCCAUGCAACAAGCAAGAGGGAUAGGGUCACUGGUUGUGCAGGUGCCAUGCUAUGACAUCAGCAAAUGUGAUUGUAAUGGUCAAAGACUUGUAGGGAGCUUUGCGGUUGGUGAAAAGCAGUGACAGCAACAGCAACAUGAAGGAAAAAGCAGGGCUGAUGCAGACUGUCUGGAUCUCAAUACAUCAUCUUCAGCCCGGUGCAUCAGAGUCACUCCAGGGCCAGUCUGCAGCAUAAUGGACCAACUGGUUCCAGUUUAAGCAACCAGUUUUGUUAGUUUCCCCAAACCCUUGCUGAAGUCAUUUAGACUAGAAUCGUCUCACUUCAAAAUGAAAUUUGCAAAUCAGGCUUUAAAAGUAGCUACUGUUAGGAUGACUAUUUCUCCCACUGCCAAGAAUCUGAGGAGUACCUCUGAGAAUCUAUACAAAAGUUUGGAUCCAUUUCUUUGAACCACGCCAGCUCGUCCUGAUAAGUGUAUAUCAGUGAAGUGAUUCCAUCUCCCACUCCCAAUGAAUCACUUAAAUAAAACUUGGAGCAAUUAAA